UUGAUGAAGACUGAGCACAGACAGGACACCAUGAAGCUGGCGCUGAACUGUGUUUUCCUACUUGUGAUUUUGAAAGGUGUCCAGGCUGAGGUGCAGCUGGUGGAGUCCGGAGGCGGGUUGGUGCAGCCUGGGGUGUCCCUGAGACUCUCCUGCGUGGCCUCGGGAUUCACCUUUAGUAGCUAUCACAUGCACUGGAUCCGCCAGGCUUCAGGGAAGGGACUGGAGUGGAUCUCAUCUCUCAGUGAGACUGGAAAAUACACAUAUUAUGCAGAUUCUGUCAAGGGCCGAUUUACCAUCUCUAGAGACAACGGCAAGAAUACGGCGUAUCUGCAAAUGAACAGCCUGAAAACCGAGGACACGGCCGUGUACUACUGUACGAGAAACACAGUGAGGGAAACCUCAGUGUGA